AGGUUUGUGGCACAGUGGGUUAGCACUGGGCUGGUAACCCAGAGGUUGGUGGUUCAAACUCACCAAUGGCUC
rnacentral:tRNA from 1 species